GGGGUAUCGAAGGUGAAGCAACUUCACCCUUUGUGACAUACCCAACUGUUGCUUCGGCGGGUCGGGGCGCCCUCCCGGGGGCGCCCCCCAGGCCCGGCCCCUCCCGGGGCCGAGCGCCCGCCGGAGGAUCACCCAACUCUAUUUUAACGACGUUUCUUCUGAGUGGCACAAGCAAAUAAUUAAAACUUUUAACAACGGAUCUCUUGGUUCUGGCAUCGAUGAAGAACGCAGCGAAAUGCGAUAAGUAAUGUGAAUUGCAGAAUUCAGUGAAUCAUCGAAUCUUUGAACGCACAUUGCGCCCGCCAGCAUUCUGGCGGGCAUGCCUGUUCGAGCGUCAUUUCAACCCUCAAGCCCGGCUUGGUGUUGGGGCACUACGGUCGACGUAGGCCCUUAAAGGUAGUGGCGGACCCUCCCGGAGCCUCCUUUGCGUAGUAACUAACGUCUCGCAUCGGGAUCCGGAGGGACUCCUGCCGUAAAACCCCCACACUUUUUCUGGUUGACCUCGGAUCAGGUAGGAAUACCCGCUGAACUUAAGCAUAUCAAGAAACGGAGAGGGAA
rnacentral:rRNA from 1 species